AUUGAACGCUGGCGGCAUGCCUAACACAUGCAAGUCGAACGGGGUGUAGCAAUACAUCUAGUGGCGGACGGGUGAGGAAUACAUAGGAAUUUGCCCUUAAGUGGGGGAGUAGUCCGGGAAACGUCGGUUUAAUACCGCAUGAUCUCGUGAGAGCAAAGACAGGGGACCGCAAGGCCUUGCGCUUUUGGAGAAGCCUAUGUCGGAUUAGCUAGCUGGUAGGGUAAUGGCCACCAAGGCGACGAUCCGUAACUGGUCUGAGAGGAUGAUCAGUCACACCGGAACUGAGACACGGUCCGGACUCCUACGGGAGGCAGCAGUGGGGAAUAUUGGACAAUGGGCGCAAGCCUGGUCCAGCAAUGCCGCGUGUGUGAAGAAGGCCUCGGUUGUAAGUA
rnacentral:rRNA from 1 species